GGGGCUGUAGCUCAGUUGGGAGAGCGCAUGACUGGCAGUCAUGAGGUCGAGGGUUCGACCCCCUUCAGCUCCACCA
rnacentral:tRNA from 3 species